UGCCUGACGGGAGGCGGAGCGCAAACGAGGGCGUCGGCCAUUUUGUGUCUGCUUCCUGUGGGACGCGUUGGUGACCGUUGUUUCGGAAAAGUGAGCGAUUUUUCGCCUCAGUUUUGCUGUUUCUUUUCGCCUUUUUGUCGGUAGGGUGCAGUUAUGGGACGGAAGAAGAAGAAGCAGCUGAAGCCGUGGUGCUGGUAUUGUAAUAGAGAUUUUGAUGAUGAGAAGAUUCUUAUACAGCAUCAAAAAGCAAAGCAUUUUAAAUGCCAUAUAUGCCAUAAGAAAUUGUAUACGGGACCUGGUUUAGCUAUUCAUUGCAUGCAGGUUCAUAAAGAGACAAUAGAUGCUGUACCAAAUGCAAUACCUGGGAGAACAGACAUAGAAUUGGAAAUAUAUGGGAUGGAAGGCAUUCCAGAAAAAGACAUGGACGAAAGACGACGACUUCUUGAACAGAAAACACAAGCAGAAAGUCAAAAAAAGAAGCAACAAGAUGAUUCUGAUGAAUAUGAUGAUGAUGAAUCUGCAGCCUCAACUUCAUUUCAGCCACAGCCUGUUCAGCCUCAGCAAGGUUAUAUCCCCCCAAUAGCGCAGCCAGGUCUGCCACCUGUUCCAGGAGCACCAGGAAUGCCUCCAGGCAUACCUCCGUUAAUGCCAGGUGUUCCUCCUCUAAUGCCAGGAAUGCCACCAGUUAUGCCAGGCAUGCCACCUGGAUUGCAUCAUCAGAGAAAAUACACCCAGUCAUUUUGCGGUGAAAACAUAAUGAUGCCAAUGGGUGGAAUGAUGCCACCUGGACCAGGAAUACCACCUCUCAUGCCUGGUAUGCCACCAGGUAUGCCUCCCCCUGUUCCACGUCCUGGAAUUCCUCCGAUGACUCAAGCACAGGCUGUUUCAGCACCAGGUAUUCUUAAUAGACCACCUGCACCAACAGCAACAGUACCUGCUCCGCAGCCUCCAGUUACUAAGCCUCUUUUCCCCAGUGCUGGACAGAUGGGGACACCUGUAACAAGCUCAAGUACAGCUUCAUCCAAUUCAGAAAGUCUGUCUGCAUCUUCUAAAGCUCUGUUUCCUAGCACAGCACAAGCUCAGGCAGCUGUUCAAGGACCUGUUGGUACAGAUUUCAAGCCCUUAAAUAGUACCCCUGCCACAACUACAGAACCCCCAAAACCUACAUUCCCUGCUUAUACACAGUCUACAGCUUCAACCACUAGUACUACAAAUAGUACUGCAGCAAAACCAGCAGCUUCAAUAACAAGUAAGCCUGCUACACUUACAACCACCAGUGCAACCAGUAAGUUGAUCCAUCCAGAUGAGGAUAUAUCACUGGAAGAGAGAAGGGCACAGUUACCUAAAUACCAGCGUAAUCUUCCUCGACCAGGACAGGCCCCAAUCGGUAACCCACCAGUUGGACCCAUUGGAGGUAUGAUGCCACCACAGCCAGGCAUCCCACAGCAGCAAGGAAUGAGACCUCCAAUGCCACCUCAUGGUCAGUAUGGUGGUCAUCAUCAAGGCAUGCCAGGUUACCUUCCUGGUGCUAUGCCACCAUAUGGGCAGGGACCGCCGAUGGUGCCCCCUUACCAAGGUGGGCCUCCUCGACCUCCAAUGGGAAUGAGACCUCCUGUAAUGUCGCAAGGUGGCCGUUACUGAUCUUGCUUCAUCCAGUCUAAUAGCCCUGCCAUAGGACAGGCUGAGGCUGAGUCUCAGUGUUGCCCUGUUCAGUCUGAGCAGCAGAAUUUCAGCAUUUGCUACUUACUGGUAGAGAAGAAAAAUCCCACAGCACUGCCAGUACAGGUUAGUUUAAUCUGUAAGUACCUGAUGUUCCUAUUUUUUUCAAACAUAUCCAUAUAACCCACACAAGGAAGAAAGCUGUGCAGUACUUAAAUGUGAGUAUAACUAAUAAUAGAUCCAUUGGACACUUUCAAACACUUAGUACUUGGGGCAAAGUACUUCUAGGUUUGCUAGCUGCAGUUGCAAUAAUGGUUUAAUACUUUAUUACCUUGUACCCAAAUUAUGUUGUAUGUAAAAGGAAGAGUGAAAGAUCCAGUUGGUUCCGCCCUUGUUGGUAUACAAUAAAGAGUCCAGGACUUUGAGUCCAGGGUCUUUGACUUAAGCCACUCCAGUGGUGGUUCUCAUAUUCACCUUUUAACUUUACAGUAUGAAUCAACCAGAGAAUAUGUAAGUUUCCUCACUUCUAGCAGUGAUAAAUGAUGUGUAAUCAUAAGUUAGAAAAUAUUUUUAUACUAGUUAUUUGAUCUUAAGUGUUCUUAGUUACAAGUAAAUAAUGAUUUUUUUAUUCAUCUUUUUUUGUUUAAAAAAAAAGUUGUUAAUGUUGCUGUGCCCCCAGGGGUUCAUUGUACUUUGAACUAAAAAUAAUAUUCAGAUGAAAGCUGACUACUUGUCAAGAAACCUAGCAAGAUUUCUCAAGUAAUUUUUUUGGAAGGGCAACAAGGUUUUUGAAAGAUGUUAACAUUUUUUUAUUAACAUUUUUUCAUUGUAACAGAGUUCAUUGAACCAUUCUUGAGAGAUUUUCUUUAACCCUUAAAUAUUACACUUUAUGUUGGUACAACCUAAAAAUACUGAAGAGGGAGGAAUAAAGUCUACAACUUUGUACAAGCCUGAAGCAUCCUUCCAGAUCUGUAGCACUGAUGCUAAACUUGAUGGGUUCCUUCUCUUUAGCUUAAGCAUUAUGUUUAGCUUGAGAUGGUCUAGCCGUGAAAGUAGUUCAUCUUGUACUCUCUUACACUGGAUAGUGAUUAGCCAUUCUGAAAAUAGAACAUCUUUAUCUGGGAGUCCUGUGUUAAGUCUUUAAAAACAAAACCUAGGGGCAGGGAUUUACCUCAGUGGCGCCUUGCCUGCCUCGAAAGUGCAAGGUCCUGAGUUCGAUCCCUGGUACCAAAAAAAAAAACCUGGGUUUGUCAAUUCAUAAGAGAUGUUUUAAGACAAAACUGCCCAAAGGCUUAAGUUUUGUUACCUUUCACAGUUUAAUCUGUAUAAGAAAUGGCAUAGAUACAGUGGAAAUGGUUCUCCUUCAAAUCAUCUCUUUUAAAGCUGCUUUUCUGGUGAGUACUAUCCUGUACUUCUAUGUAUCACCAUUUUUACCUUUUAAAAUUAACUGAAAUCGGACUGAAGAGGUGAGCAAUCUGAAUUUCAUGAUGUCCUUGGAUAUUACUUGCAUUAGGAAUCUUAGAAUGAUUAUUUUACCACCACACAUUUCCCCUACUUCUGCUUUACUUUUUCCCAACCUUCACUUAAUAAAAUAUAUAUACAAACUCAUAAGGCUUAAGGUUUUCCUUUUAGUUGGUAGCCAAAUGAUUUUUCUCAUUGCUUUUAAUUGUUGCAUAAUUUAAAAUACCAGAACUUCUUUGUGUCCUUAUUAAAGCUGACAUUGCAGUGACUCUUGACUAAUUCAGUUGGGAAAGAGGAGGGUUCAUCAAAAUUGGUCGUGCAGACCAAUUGAUUAUAAGGUUCUCUUUAAGUCUUAGUUUUCAAGUGUGUUAUUUCAUAAAUUAUUCAAAUUCUUUGGUUAAAUAUAUUGGUUUCUGGGACUUGUGUAUACCCAUAAAAAUUAGCCUUUGAGUGUUUAUGCCCUGUUUUAUCCUUAACAUGUACAACACAAGGAUUUCUUUCCCUCUGGUUUUUAGCCACAUUCCAGAUGAUGUCAAUAGAGUUUAAAGCUGUUCUCACAUUGUUUUCUGCUUAAUCUUUGUGAAUCUGUAAACUCUCAUGCUUUUUCAUAUAAGCAGUCAUAGUUUGCUAAAUAAAUAUGAAAUUAAUAAUCUUGAGUAUGUGAUACAGUAAUGUUCUUUUAGAUAAACACUCAAAGUAUGAACCCUCAAUUUGUGUCUUAAGAUUUAAUGGAAAGUAAGUUCUAAGGAACUGUGUCCUUUCCUAGCAGGAAAAACCAGACUGAAAAACUGGUAAGUAUGUAAUUUUAAGUGCAUGUCAUAGAGUAAGUAGUCACAUUUCCAUACUGUAAUAGUUAACAAGAAUUCUUAAAUCUCCUUUGCGACUUAAAGUGUAUCUCUUAACAUUUUUCACAAAUCUAUGUGGACAGUGAUUAAACUGAAGUAUACUUGUCUGGUUUUCUUUUUUUAGAAUUUUGUAUAGUAUUUUAAAUACUAAUUUUUUUAUUUCAAGCUUUUUUCAGGGUAGAAAUAAGUGGCUGUCAAAAGAAAAUAUCAAGAAGAUUACUUAAAUAUCUUCGUUUAAAACCCAGUAAUGACUUUCAGUUUACUUAAAUCUUCUGUUUUUCAGCUCUGGUUAAAACUGACACUAGGCAGCUGAUCAAAAUUUAAAAACUCAUUGUACUUUUUGUGGAAUAUUUUAGGAAUUAGUGCAUAAUUGUAAAAUGGCAUUAAGCUAUACUUGAUUUACAUAGAGGCUGUGGUUUUAAGGGAGAAAAAUUUGUUUAAAUUUGGAGACCUCAACCCUAAUGUACUAAUAAUUAAGAUAAUAGAGAUUAGGAGACCUCAACCCUAAUGUACUAAUAAUUAAGAUAA